ensembl:snRNA U6 U6 spliceosomal RNA
UUUUUAAGUUCUACUGAAAACAGCUUAAAAAUUGGAAUGAUAAGAAAAGAUUAGCAUGGCCCCUACACAAGGAUGACAAAUUCAUGAAGCAUUUCCUAUUUGA